UACAGAGGUCUCAAGCGUUGUUCGGAUUCAUUGGGCGUAAAGGGUGCGUAGGCGGCGCGGUAAGUCGGGUGUGAAAUCUUGGGACUUAACUCCGAAACUGCAUUCGAUACUGCGGUGCUUGAGGACUGGAGAGGAGACUGGAAUUUACGGUGUAGCGGUGAAAUGCGUAGAUAUCGUAAGGAAGACCAGUGGCGAAGGCGGGUCUCUGGACAGUUCCUGACGCUGAGGCACGAAGGUCAGGGGGAGCAAACGGG
rnacentral:rRNA from 1 species